GCAUUUGGUAAGCAGGUGCCCUUACCAUAUAAAAGGAGGUGGCGGAGAGAUAGCAUUUUUCCUGCUGUAUGGCUUAUAGGCUGGUGAAGAGUUUUUGUUUAGAGAGAAGCCUUCUGAAAUUACAGAGAAGGGAGAAUACAGACCUCCUUCAGGGAGAAGGCAGCUGCUUGGGUCGGUUCUGUUGUGCAGCUCUGGAGAGGAGAAGAUAUUUCUCACGCUGAGCUACAGGAAGUUGAUGCUGAAAUGCAAUGACAGCAGAUGUUACUGGGAUGCAGUCAUAAGAUGGAGGCAAACGAGCUCUUUGUGACCAGCUCAGGCCACAGCACCAGCAUAUUUCCAGGUGAUUUCUUUACAUGUCUUGAGGAAGCUGCCCAUCUUCAGCUGAGUUUACUCUUACUCCCCAUUCUGUCAGAUCUUGUGAGAGGAGUAGCCUUAUCUCUGCCCCACAACUGACUUUUGCAGAAGAGGAACAUUCGGCUUUCACAAAGCAUGAGAUCACAGCAGAUGGCACGUGCUUAAGAUACACCUGUAGUCUGCUCUACCAGGGCUUGAAUUCACCAUGGCCCUUUUUUCUCUGUGUGAAUUACAUAGUUCAGUCCUGACAGCAGUGAGUUGCCCAGCAUCCUCCAAGGCUGUCAAAACCUAGGACUGUCUCUCAGAGCGAUAUCGUCUUAGUUUGUCUUCUUUCUUUAAGCAGAGGAUUCAUCCUCAGUGCAUGCAGGAGGAGCUAUAACAUUCUUCCUCUGCCUGUGUUUUGCAACUUGCAUUUACACACGAUGUGCUUUGGGCAGGUCACUCGCUAUUAGAAGCCUCUUUUAUAUGAAAACCUUGCAGUUCUUCCUCUGCUGUGGGCUGUUGGCCAUGAGUACCUGGACACCAUGCCGGUAUAACUGCUAACUGGUAUAACAUUGCCAAAAGGCAAUGACAUGCUGCCAUUCUGAUAAGGAAAAGUUAUGCCAAGUUAUUUCUUCAUUCGCAGAACACAAAUCCAGUUUUUGCAAGCUGUUUGCCAGAUUCUGAUAUAAAUCAAUGUAGCCUCUUUACUUAUCCCCAGUCAAGGGCCAUUUCGUUUGCACUUGGUAUUUGUCUAGUCUACUCUAGUUUAAUCGGGGGGGGGGGGGGUUCUGUGCACUGCUCAAGAAUUGCUACAAGGCAUCGUGAGAGAACGCUGUGUUAUUGCUGGGUAAAAGAUCUGAAACAUAUGUAGUCUGUUUUGUAGAGCAUUAGGGCAUCCUUUGACUGAAAAGUACCAUAAUGAGGAAUGGACUAUUAACUGUUAUUCAUGAUUACAUAUGCAAAGCUUGUGAGCCAAGUUUAAUUAAAUUCAAUACAGACAUAUGCAAUAAAAAUGAACAAUUAACAGCAGUGAAGAGUUCUGAUCUGAAUCUGUGAAGACUUUCUUCAUCCCUAUUUGUACAGUGAGAAAUAAAAAGAGUGUGUAAUCUCAACUCUGACAUAUAUAGAAAGAGAAAGUGCAACAUGGAGCUAU